UACAGAGGGUGCAAACGUUGUUCGGAAUUACUGGGCGUAAAGCGCGUGUAGGCGGCCAUGCAAGUCGGAUGUGAAAUCCCACGGCUCAACCGUGGAAGUGCACCCGAAACUACGUGGCUUGAGUUCUGGAGAGGAAGGCGGAAUGCUUGGUGUAGAGGUGAAAUUCGUAGAUAUCAAGCGGAACACCUGUGGCGAAGGCGGCCUUCUGGACAGUGACUGACGCUGAGACGCGAAAGCGUGGGGAGCAAACAGG
rnacentral:rRNA from 1 species